rnacentral:rRNA from 1 species
GACGAACGCUGGCGGCGUGCUUAACACAUGCAAGUCGAACGAAGAGCGAUGGAAGCUUGCUUCUAUCAAUCUUAGUGGCGAACGGGUGAGUAACGCGUAAUCAACCUGCCCUUCAGAGGGGGACAACAGUUGGAAACGACUGCUAAUACCGCAUACGAUCUAACCUCGGCAUCGAGGAUAGAUGAAAGGUGGCCUCUACAUGUAAGCUAUCACUGAAGGAGGGGAUUGCGUCUGAUUAGCUAGUUGGAGGGGUAACGGCCCACCAAGGCGAUGAUCAGUAGCCGGGCUGAGAGGAUGAACGGCCACAUUGGGACUGAGACACGGCCCAGACUCCUACGGGAGGCAGCAGUGGGGAAUCUUCCGCAAUGGACGAAAGUCUGACGGAGCAACGCCGCGUGAGUGAUGACGGCCUUCGGGUUGUAAAGCUCUGUUAAUCGGGACGAAAGGCCUUCUUGCGAAUAGUGAGAAGGAUUGACGGUACCGGAAUAGAAAGCCACGGCUAACUACGUG